rnacentral:lncRNA from 1 species
AAAAAAGAAAGAAGGAAAAAAAAAAAACCACUGUCACCACUAACCAAAAAACCCCAAGACCAAUUAAUUCCAGUAGAUUGCAGCAAAGCGGGGGCGUUGGUGGGGACACAUCCUGUUUUGCCAUUUAAGCUGUCAAGCCCUAUGCCAGUAACCUCUCUGAUGAACUGGACUCAGUUGUGAAAGAAAUCAGGGAUGACAAAGAAUUUAAAACACUUGCAUGACAAUUUUUCUAACCUUUGGUCACUUGGAACGCUAUUUUUUUUAGGCUAUUUUCCUUUGAUGGGAAAACAGGAAAAGCAAACCUAAGUCUUAAACAAUGCCUGUAGAUCUGUUUAAGAGCCAGGCUGGAGAUCAGCUAAGUUGCUGUUUGAUUUUGCAGGAACUGUUGUUGCCUUUUAAUGCCUGUAGGCUGGUGGGCCCGCUGCCAGGGAGCAGGGUCCCCAUCACAAGGAGGGGUAGCCCUGUCCUUUGCUUUUGUGCCUCUAAUACCCAUGUUUGCUUUGCAGAGUCACCACCCAAGCAAACCUGAAGAUUGUGUAGCCACCCAAUUCUGUGUAUUUCCCAGAGCCAGAAGCUGCACAGCAGCCAUGGAAAGACUGAAGUUUGGCGCCAGUUUUGGCUCUGCCGUUAAUUCAUUCAGGACAACCUCGACACUGGUCUGGAGAGAAAGCUGGAUCCUGUGCAAAUAACUAGAGCGCAGCUAAGGGGAAGUAAAACGUGCUACUGAGGCAGGAAACGUCGGCACGUCACACAGCCUAUGCUGGACAGUCAAGGAGGGAUGUGUGAAAAGAAGCUUGUGUCUCCAGUAAAUGCAACCCAACAAGGUGGAAACCACUACUGUCACUGCUUUACUGAUGAAGAAAAACUCGGGUUCUAGGAGGACAAAUAGCUCAGUGAAGCCUGGGGAGCAGCGGUCCCAAAGCUCUGAUUCCUACACGUUUUCCUGCUGAGUCACACCGGCUGCUGAGACGUCGCCAGAGGACCUGACAGCCCCUUUAGGACUUGGACUCUAUUCUGCAUUGCUGGACGAUAAGCAGCUUUUUUCUUAUCAGUUCUUAAGAAAUGUGCAGCUUACACUGAUUAAAGGUGAGGAAGCCAGGGACAUCGUGAGCACUGCGCAGCCCCGAGGGUGGCUCUCAUACCUAAAGUGAUCACUCACCUCUGUGCCGGAACAUCUAGUUUCCAGCAAUUUGCAGACGGUAAACACCCAGAGGCAGAGCCGGGGCGGAGGAGGGGCUCAGCUUCUCCAGGACACUGUAAUCAAACCCACACUGAGGAAUUUGCUGCCAGCCACUUCGUCAAAACCAGACAAGGCUGCCUCCUGGGCGAUGUCUUCUACUUGGAAACCAGGAAAGGAGGCAAGGGGUUCUAGCGUGUUCUCUUUAUAGAAGGAUCCAAGUGGCUUGAGUGUACCAUCUGAUACCCCGAGUCUGGCUUAGCAUCCAGGUCUCCAUCACUGCUCUGCUGCCCUCAGAGCUGCCUAGGGUCACUGGACCACCCAGCUCACUGCUGACAUUAGGGGGAGUCUCAGAUGGGACCUUUGAUAGCCACAGAAAAGGCUUCUCACCACGCUAGUGGCUUGAGCGAAGCUGGGAGAGGUAAUAUAUGGAUAUUUCAUAUAGAAUACCGGCGAUUUUUAUCUGUGGACAUCUUAUUAUUGCACCCAGCGCACUGUAUUGCAAUCCAGUGUUUAUCUCCCCGAGUGGAAUGGAAACAGCUAUAGGGCUUGAAUUAUGCAAAUUUAUUUUUGUGUCCUCAGUGCCUGGGACAUGAUUGGUGUUCAGUAACUGCUUGAAUGAAUGAAUCAGUAAUGAUUAGCCUCAGCAAUACUUUGUUCUUAAAAUGAGACACACAAAUAUUUAUUUUUUCUAAAGUACAGUUUCUAGGCCAACAGAGAUGUGUGAUAAGAAGGCUUCUGAGAAGAGUCUUCAUGAUUUUAUAGUCUUCAUGGUGAGAGAUAAGACACAAAGGUACACAUGAAGGAAAGAGAAGACACCAGGCUACAAAAGCCAAAAGCCGGAAAAAAAAAAAACACCCACCAAACCCCCAAAUAAACCCCUCUCCCUCCCAAAAAAACCCAAAAAAGCAGACUGUCUAGUAAAAAGUACCCACAGAUUCUGAUAAUCCAGCCACGAUGGUCACAGUUUUAAUAGUAAGAAUAAAAAGUACACACUUCUUCCCUUUCCUUGCCAAGGUUGAAGGCAGAAUCUUUACCAUUGUGAGGGAGAGAGCGUGAUACUGGACGGAAACUGAGGCGGGCAACAGCUAGAGGCCUUGCUCAAAUUGUCCCAAAGGUCAGAUAAAAAAUUCUCUGCAGUGCCAAAUUCUUUGCCGGUGGACUUUUUUCCAUACUGAUUGCUGAAUAAGGUGCAGAUUUGCUUGUCCUGGAAGUAGUUUUCUUUCUGGCAAAUCUGUGCAUUUAGGCAACUCUGUGUUUGGCCGUCUCUCACUUGCACUUUUUUGAGCUGUUCUCCUUGUUUGUGUCCUGGCCACCCCCCCACCCAAGGCUUCACUGCUCCCCUUCUGGCAGGUCCUCAAAUCACAUACUGACAAUACCUUAAGUGUUAAUUACCCCGUGCAGCUGGCCUUUUAACCAGGGAACUCCCACACCUUGAAGAUCUUUCUGAUCCAGGAUGUUGACUAAACUCAGUGUGGUCAUCAUUUGACCAUCUGUACAUAUAUCAAAUCAUUAUGUUGUACAACUAAGACGGAUACAAUGUUAUCUGUCGAUUACAUCUCAGUAAAAAUACAAGCAAAUAAGAUGUUUAAUAGUAAAAUGUUAAGGUGGGUGGGUGGGAAGGCAGAAAUUUUGGAAGAGGGCGUUUGCCUGAUGUUUUCCAACCACUCCUGGUCGCUGACCCAGUUCUUCACCCGCUCCUUCCAAAUGGACGUUCACGUGAUUCUGGAUGUAGGGGAGGCACCGGGCUUUGAACUGCAGAUGCAGGAGAAAUGGCUGCUUCAUGAAACUGCCCGUGUUCCCCACUGUAUCCGUGGAAACAGUGACAGCUCCAAGACCUAAGGCGUCUGUUGCCAAUGAGACCCUCUGGUUGGAACAAUGAUUUCAGUUUGGUUCAACUUGGUGGAGUUUCCUAGUCAGGCAUGAUGAAUAUCUACAGCCUGUGCACUCGAAGCAUGCAUCCUCCAGGGCAAUGUGGCCAUUUGUUUUUUUUGGACUUUAUAGUAACCAACACUUUUCAUAUUUUAUUAAAGUGGAGAAAAAGCAUAAUGAUAGCUAUGCCCUUUGAAAUUGAGAUCGGUUUGUAAAACAGCAAAGUCUAAAGCAUGGCGUAGAUUUAAAAUCUAUGAUAUUUUUUAAAAUCCUUGGUUUAGAAUUAAUUUGUUAGAACUGGAGAUAUCUUAGAACAUACCUAUACCUAAUAGCAUCCUGAGAUGAUUCUUUUAAAACUGAGAAUUGUGUUCUAGACAAGUCUCCACCACCUACUAGCCAGGUUGAUUUUUUUUUUGCAUCCCUAAAAGGAUAAGUUUGCACAGUGGGGCCUGGUUUUCUUUUGAGCUCUAACCUGUGGUUCCAGAAUUUGGCUGUGAAAUAAUGUUAACUUAAGUCGCCCUCCAGUGGCUACAAUUAUAAUUGCAGAUUAUACCAACGCGGAAUUUCUGGUCGCAGGAAGAGACCUAAAUUCUACAGUAACACAGGGAUUACUCUUUUAAAUGAAAGGGUGCAGGUACAACACUUGGCACGCAAGCCCUCAGUAAAUGGUGGGAAUUGUUUCCAUGGACAGCUUGUCCUCACAGCACUCCAGAGGAACUUUCACCUAAGCGUAAAAAAGAAACCUUGACAAGUGUGUUGACUGCAAUAUUGUAGCAGUAAAACAUUGGAAACAGCUCACAUGUCUAUCAGUAGGAUAAUAGCAAGUUUGCCCAAAUGAAAUACUAUACACCAGUGAAAAUCAGUCAUUGAGGGUUACAUCCAUCAACCUAGGAGCAGAAUUUUUGGGCAUCUUAAAUGCAAAUUACCCUUCUAGGUAGUUUGACCUGUUAUACUCUUUCUAACAGUGUAUGAGGAUUCCCAUUUCCUCUUAUACUCACCAACACUUGCAACUGUCUGAUUUAGAUUUUUUUUUGCCAAUCUGAUGUGAAAUUCUACUUUAUUUUUUUAAAAUAAGUUUUCUCUUCAUUACUAGAGAGGUUAAGCAUGUUUUCACACUUUUGUCAUUUGAUUUUCCUCUCUGUGAAUAGCCUUGUUCAAGUCCUUGGUCUGUUUUUCUAUUGAUUUUGGAGUCUUUUUCUUGUUUAUUUGCAUGAGUUAUUUACAGAUAAGAAAUUUUCAGUGGAUAUACACUUUUCUUCCAGUGUAUGGCUUGUUUUCACUUUUAAAAUGACUUAUUUUUUCAUACAGAAGUUUUAUAUUUUAAUGCAAUCAAAUUUAUAAUUUGUUUUCUUCAUGGCUUGUUUUAUCUUGUCUGUGUUGUGUUCAUGUAGUCCUUUUCUACUCCUUGUUUGUCUUUUGAGGAAGAUUAGCCCUGAGCUAAAAUCUGCUGCCAACCCUCCUCUUUUUGCUGAGGAAGACCAGCCCUGAGUUAACAUCUGUGCCCAUCUUCCUCUACUUUAUAUGUGGGAUGCCUGCCACAGCAUGGCUUGACAAAUGGUGCGUAGGUCCACACCCUGUAUCCAAACCUGCGAACCCAGGGCCGCUGAAGUGGAACGUGCAAACUUACCCAGGGAGCCACUGGGCUGGCCCCAUUUUUCUACUCUUAAGAUAUGCAAAUAUUCUACUAUAUACUCUUUGGAAAGUUGAAAAAAUUUUUUCGUCCUUAUCUUUAAUUCACCUGCAAUUGAUUUUUGUGCAUGGUGUGAAGUAGGGAAUGAGUUACACUUUCAUAUGGAUAAUCAGUUGUCCUACCUCCAUUUAUUGAAUAAUAAAUUCUUCCCCUUCUAAAGCAAUGGGUUACGGGAUCAGGUUGCUUGAACUCCAGCCUCACUUUUCAUUAGUGGUGUGACCUUGAGAAAGUUACUCAGUCUCUCUGGGUUUGAUUUCUUUAUCUGUAAAGUGAGAGUAAUAAUAGUAGCUGUGUUAUAGGAUUGUUGGGGGAAUUAAAUGAGUUAAAUCUAAAAGACUUAGUUCCUGUCACAAGUUAAGACUCAAUAAAUGUUAGCUGUUAUUAUUUUUAUUGCAGAUUUAUUGUGCUGCCUCUGUUGUACAUGAACUUUUCACGUGUCCAGGUCCAGAUCUUGAUUCGCUCUUCUUUUGUGUUGGUCUAGUUUUCUGCACCCGGGCCACAUGGUAUAAAUUAUUACAGCUGCGUAAUUGGUACCUUAUCUAAUAGGGCAUGUCUCUCCGCCAUGUUCUUCUUCUUCAGAAUUAUCCCGACUAGUGUUUGCCCUUUACUCUUCCAUAUUGAUUUUAAGAUCAAUUAACUAUAGUUCCCCAAGCAAAAAUCUCCCGCUGCCCCCCAACACACACGUCAACCCUGCUGAGAGUUUGAAUGAAAUUGCGUUUAAUCUGCUGGUUGAUUUGUGGAGAUCUGCCAUCUUUUUUUCCUCUCUGGGAACAUGGAAAAUUUAAUACGAAGAAGUUAUUAACUAAUAAAAGAAUGUUAUGAAAGAGUGAAACUGAACUCUGAGGAAUAUGGGAAUCCCAGAUGCAGGAAGCAGCUGCUACCCCAACCACGAGAGGGAGCGAAGACAAGGAAGGAACAAGAACUUGGAAGGCAGACCCCAAAGCCGAGGCUGAGAGCUAGCGGGAGAGGGUGUGGCUGCCCCAGAAAGUGCACUUGCUCGUGGUGGAGAAACUUGUUGAGGGUGUAGGCCAGUCUGUGGGAAGUGGCCCACUGCUUGACAGAGACCUUUGCUUUGGACAUAUCAUAUGAUGGAUGGUGGACAUAUCAGUGAUGACCCAAAGGAACUGGCCCACUGAGAGGCUGGGGAAUCUCUCAGGAGGGUGACCACCAGUAGCCCUCUCAUGUGCUCUGUCAGCUCGUCAGCUGCUCCGUAGAAAGAAAGAAUGUACACCAGAACCACCAAGACUAGCCCAUCCCCACAUGCCUCCCACUCUGUCCCUCUACUGCCCUCUAUGGACAAAGCUUAAUAUUUGCAGCAGCUUUCAACGGAGAAAUGCAUAUUGGGACCAGCUGCAGGAUCACAAAGCUUGGUGAAGAAGGGUGAAUUUGGAGCUGAGAGACAAUAGAUCGAUAACUGCUGCAAACAUGGAUAAAGUUAAAAAUGUCAUAGUCCUCAAAAAAGUUCUUCAACGAGAGUAAUUUCCUGCCUCAACCUUCCUUACUUCCUCCCACCUUCCCCAACCUCCAGGUCGCUGCUCAGAGGCAACUGUUGAAACUCUCGGAGGAGUUUUUCCAGCACAAUAGACAGUAUUGUGUAGAGCACAGCUUCUGGGGAAGACUGUUUGGAUUAAUAUCCUGGCUCUGUGACUUACUGCUGUGUACUGAGUUCCUUUUCUCUGGCCGUGCUUCAGUUUUCUUGUCUCUAAAGUGAGAAUAAUAACUUUACAGGAUUUCAUAAUUUCAAUAAUUUCAUAGGAUUUUUGUGAGGAUCAAAUGAGUAAAGCUCUUAGUACAGAGUCUAGCAUGUUAACUAUUUCUAACUUCCAUUGUAAACUAUGUGCUAACAUUGCCGUUUCUUAAUUUACCAAUAUUUGACAAUCUUUAUGGACUUUCUCUUAUUGAUAGUUAGAAAUUUAGCUCUUUUGUGUCACCACGCCCCCUCCUCCCUUGUCCCCUCAGUGAAGUCAUAUCCCAGUUUUUCAAAAUCAACCAUCAGUGUUUACGUUAUUCUGAAUAUGCAAAUAUCAUUUACAGUUCAGCCGAGUUAUUCAAACAACUUCUUGUUCGAUUUUUCCUCCAGUUAAUAAUUGUUUCCGUGUUUCAUUUGCUUAUGUUUUCUCCGUCCAUAUUGCUAUUUCCCCCUACAUGUUUAAAAUGAUUGGUCAAGCAUUGAAAGAUAAUUUUUCCAUUUCUCUUAUAUAUCCAAUAAGCUAUUGGUCUGCUGAGCGUUUGAAUUGGUAAACUGAGUGGAGAAGGUCUCCCUCAGCCUUGUAGGCGGCGUUGUCCACUCCACAGGCAGAGGAAGGGCGAGUUCGCACUCUGUCUGCUUGAGCUGGGCUGCCCAUCUUCUCCUGCCCUGGGACAUCCGCGCUCCUUGUUCUUGGACCUUUGGACUUGGACUAGUGCUUAUGCCGUCAGCUCCUCUGGUCCUCAGGCCUUCAAGCUUGGACUGAAACUACACCACUGGGUCUCUUGCACAUGGCGGAUCCUGGAACUUCUCAGCUUCCACAAUCUCGUCUAAUGGUGAUAUGUUCAUCCUGAAGACCAACUCUGUGAGGCACUAAGGAAUUCAUGCAUCAUUAUUAGAAUGGCUAUUCCUGCAUCGCUGCUAAGGCAGGUGAGAAACUAGAGUUCUAGCCACUUUUUAAUGGCACUUUUCAACUACAACAUGCAAAUGGUUGGUUGACUUCGUACAAGAUUAAUUAAGAAGUCUCAUGUGAGUGGGGAGAUAUUCAUUUUAGGCUUGAUGAUUUAAUCACAGUUAAUUACAUAAUUAACAUGUAAAAUCCUGAUGCAAUUAAAAAGCGGAAUGAACAAGAAACUGGAAUAAUUGUUUUGAUGAGAUGACAAUCAUAAAGUUGAAGUGAACUAAUACACAUUGAACACGCAAAAUAGUGUAACUUUUGGGGCUGGCCCCAUGGCCAAGUGGUUAAGUUUGCACGCUCCGCUGCAGGCUGCCCAGUGUUUCAUUGGUUCGAAUCCUGGGCGCGGACACAGCACUGCUCAUCAAACCACGCUGAGGCAGCGUCCCACAUGCCGCAACUAGAAGGACCCACAAUGAAGAAUUUAUGACUAUGUACCGGGGGGCUUUGGGGAGAAAAA